rnacentral:lncRNA from 1 species
AUUUCAGAGGCGGGAAGAGAACAUCAUCAUCGGUGUAAUGCUCUUCCCGACUCUGCAUCAAGCUGCUGAGUGACCCACCGCGGGCAAACUCCCUUGUCAGCCUCCUGUGAGAUGCACAACUCCUCUGGAUCUUAGACAUCUCCUUUCUCCAGUGCUUUUUUUAAAAAAUACAUUUAACACCUCAUGAAAAACUGGAGUGCUGGGCUUAAAGACACGCACUACCACCGCCUGGCACUUUUGGGUAAUAUUCAUUUGCCAUGCCUCAAUUCAUGAAGAAACAUCGCUUGGCGAGAAAAUCCCAGCCGUUGGCAGCUGUAAGGGGAGGAUUGAUCCCGUGUAGUCACAACAGUAAGGAUGUGGACAUCAGGCCUGGGAGCCAGCCAGUAAGCGUGUUCCUCCAUGGCCUUCAGUAAGCGUGUUCCUCCAUGGCCUCUGCCUCAGUUCCUGCCUCCAUGUUCCUGCCUCGUGUUUCCUCCCUGACAGGCUACAAGCUGUAAGAUGAAAUAACACUUUCCUUUCCACACUGCUUUUGGUCUUCGCAUUUAUCACGGCAGCAGAUGGCACACCAGGACACUGGUUAAUGGAGACAUACCUGUUUGGUGGGGCACGACAGAGUCGGGG